UACGUAGGGGGCAAGCGUUGUCCGGAAUCAUUGGGCGUAAAGCGCGUGUAGGCGGCCUUGUAAGUCCGUUCUGAAAGCCCGGGGCUCAACCCCGGGAGGCGGAUGGAUACUGCAAGGCUCGAGUACGGAAGAGGCGAGUGGAAUUCCUGGUGUAGCGGUGAAAUGCGCAGAUAUCAGGAGGAACACCAAUUGCGAAGGCAGCUCGCUGGGACGUAACUGACGCUGAGACGCGAAAGCGUGGGGAGCAAACAGG
rnacentral:rRNA from 1 species